GAUGAACGCUGGCGGCGUGCCUAAUACAUGCAAGUAGAACGCUGAAGGAAGGAGCUUGCUCUUUCCGGAUGAGUUGCGAACGGGUGAGUAACGCGUAGGUAACCUGCCUGGUAGCGGGGGAUAACUAUUGGAAACGAUAGCUAAUACCGCAUAACAGUAGAUGUUGCAUGAUAUCUACUUAAAAGGUGCAAUUGCACCACUACCAGAUGGACCUGCGUUGUAUUAGCUAGUUGGUGAGGUAACGGCUCACCAAGGCGACGAUACAUAGCCGACCUGAGAGGGUGAUCGGCCACACUGGGACUGAGACACGGCCCAGACGCCUACGGGAGGCAGCAGUAGGGAAUCUUCGGCAAGGGACGGAAGUCUGACCGAGCAACGCCGCGGGAGUGAAGAAGGGUUUCGGAUCGUAAAGCUCGGUUGUAAGAGAAGAACGAGUGUGAGAGUGGAAAGUUCACACUGUGACGGUAGCUGACCAGAAAGGGACGGCUAACUACGUG
rnacentral:rRNA from 1 species